GAAAAAUGGAGUUUCCAGUCGUGUCCGUGCAUUUACGCAUGAACUGUUCUACCUAAGCUUCCCAAAUUUUAAUAUGUUGUUACUGAUGACAAAAUGGAGGUCAAGUUCAAUAAUGACGAUUUUGACUUUUACCGUUCAGGAGUUGUGGUUCUUGAAAGAUUGAAAAAUGGUGUUUCCAGUCGUGUCCGUGCAUUUAUGCAUGAACUGUUUUACCAAAGCUUCCCAAAUUUUAAUAUGUUGUUACUGAUGACAAAAUAGAGGUUAAGUUCAAUAAUGAUGAUUUUGACUUUUACCGUUCAGGAGUUAUGGUUCUUGAAAGAUUGAAAAAUGGUGUUUCCAGUCGUGUCCGUGCAUUUUCUCAUGAACCAUUCAACCAAAGC
rnacentral:lncRNA from 1 species